AAUCACACAAUAGAUCUCCAAUAAAAUAGACUGCAAGAAUAACAAUCUACCAUAACACUAAGCAGCAAUUAAAAUGGGCAGUAAUUACAAUAUAAACAACCACCGGUUAAGGUAACCAUCCCAGCCAAGAUCAAGUGGUCAACAUAACCAAAAGUUGGUAAACCCUUGGAUCGAGUGACUCAAGUGAUUUGAGUAUCACGCUGUCCUUCUACUACAUUAUCAUCCUUGAGUAGAGUCAUCAAGAUCGGAUCUAUUUCCGAUCUUCUCCCCUACAUCCUCUACCGUACCCAUCACCCAUAUCUUUUACCCAAAUUAGAAUCUAACACUCUACAUACCUCUUCCGCUGUUUGUCGAGUUUCACACCUCCCACACUACGACACCGGUGCCCCCUUACAGAUCCCAGCCACGAUGCUCUCCCUCCUAGCCGUCCUUCUUCCCCCUCCUUCUCCUUCCAUUUUCCCCUCUUCCCUUUCUGUUUCACUCGUCCGUUUCCUUGUCUCCCCUUCUAUCCUUUUAAUUUAUAUUUUAAUCAUCCUAGUCAUUUACAGUUUUACCUUUAAUUGGGUUAUUUCCAAUUAAUAACCGGGUACAUAACUAACCGGUUAUUACAGCGUCUGACUCGCGACGAU
rnacentral:lncRNA from 1 species